UUGUGGCUCAGUGGUAGAGUGUUUGUCUAGCACACAUGAGGCCCUGGGUUCAAUCUUCAGCAA
rnacentral:tRNA from 1 species